rnacentral:rRNA from 1 species
GCCCAGACUCCUACGGGAGGCAGCAGUGGGGAAUAUUGCACAAUGGGGGGAACCCUGAUGCAGCGACGCCGCGUGAGUGAAGAAGUAUUUCGGUAUGUAAAGCUCUGUCAGCAGGGAAGAAGAAGGACGGUACCUGACCAAGAAGCCCCGGCUAACUACGUGCCAGCAGCCGCGGUAAUACGUAGGGGGCAAGCGUUAUCCGGAUUUACUGGGUGUAAAGGGAGCGUAGACGGCAGGGCAAGUCUGGAGUGAAAGGCGGGGGCCCAACCCCUGGACUGCUCUGGAAACUGUCCGGCUGGAGUGCAGGAGAGGUAAGUGGAAUUCCUAGUGUAGCGGUGAAAUGCGUAGAUAUUAGGAGGAACACCAGUGGCGAAGGCGGCUUACUGGACUGUAACUGACGUUGAGGCUCGAAAGCGUGGGGAGCAAACAGGAUUAGAUACCCCCGUACU